rnacentral:sRNA from 1 species
CCUCAUCCACCUGUUCCGGGGCAAUAAAAUGUAUAUGAGUAUCAAUGCCACCGGCAGUAAUUAUGUUCCUUUCCCCAGAAAUUACAUCGGUACCAGCCCCAACGAUCAUAUUCGGACUGACACCUUCCAUAAUGUCCGGGUUCCCAGCUUUUCCGAUGCCGACAAUAUUUCCCUCCUUAAUACCAAUAUCGGCUACGUAAAUCCCGCUCCAAUCGAUAAUAAGGGCGUUCGUAAUAACAGUGUCAAGUACGUCUUCUGAACAUCUUCCGGAAGCUUGACCCAUGCCUUCUCUUAAUG